AAUAUUGGACAAUGGGUGAGAGCCUGAUCCAGCCAUCCCGCGUGCAGGAAGAAUGCCUUAUGGGUNGUAAACUGCUUUUAUACAGGNAUAAACCACUUUACGUGUAAGGUGUUGAAGUUACUGUAUGAAUAAGCAUCGGCUAACUCCGUGCCAGCAGCCGCGGUAAUACGGAGGGUGCAAGAGUUAUCCGGAUUUAUUGGGUUUAAAGGGUCCGUAGGAGGACAUAGAAGUCGGAGGUGAAAUCCGACAGCUUAACUGUCGAACUGCCUUUGGAACUGUAUGUCGUGAGUGAGAUUGAAGCAGAUGGAAUGUGUAGUGUAGCGGUGAAAUGCAUAGAUAUUACACAGAGCACCGAUAGCGUAGGCAGGUUGCUAAGUCUUUACUGACGCUGAUGGACGAGAGAGUGGGGAGCAAACA
rnacentral:rRNA from 1 species